GUGAGGAAUAUUGGUCAAUGGGCGGAAGCCUGAACCAGCCAUGCCGCGUGAAGGACGAAGGCGUUCUGCGUUGUAAACUUCUUUUAUAAGGGAAGAAACCUGCGAUAUCUAUUGUAGCCGACGGUACCUUAUGAAUAAGCACCGGCUAACUCCGUGCCAGCAGCCGCGGUAAUACGGAGGGUGAAAGCGUUAUCCGGAUUCACUGGGUUUAAAGGGUGUGUAGGCGGGCUUGUAAGUCAGGGGUGAAAUCCUACAGCUUAACUGUAGAACUGCCUUUGAUACUAUAGGUCUUGAAUAUUGGUGAGGUGGGCGGAAUACAUCAUGUAGCGGUGAAAUGCUUAGGUAUGAUGUAGAACACCGAUUGCGAAGGCAGCUCACUAAGCAAAUAUUGACGCUGAGGCACGAAAGCGUGGGGAUCAAACAGGAUUAGAUACCCUGGUAGUCC
rnacentral:rRNA from 1 species